rnacentral:rRNA from 1 species
AUGUUGAGCUCCACCGCCGGCUACGUCUCCAUGGUCGCCGCCUCUGCAUGCCUGCUUCCCCUAGGCAGCAAGCCCGCCGGGGCCAGGAGUGGGAGCGGGAGAAAACACCGCCGCGGCCGCCUGUCGUGCAAGGCCGCCGCGGAUGGCGACGCCAAGCGGCUCGAGGUGGACCGCCGGCGCGUGCUCCUCGGGCUCGGCGGGGUCGCCGUCACCACUAACUUCGGCCUCUCGCUGGCGCAGGGCGCCGACGCCAGCCAGUGUGCGGCCGUGCCCAUCACGGCUGAGGUGCUCCAAUGCGUCUCGGUGCCCGGCGGCUUCCGGUGCCCGGGCCUGUACAACCCCAGCGACGUGGUGGACUUCAGCACGUUGCCACGGCCGCGCGGCCCACCGCGCGUGCGGAAGGCGGCGCAUCUGCUGGACGAGGCGGACGUGAAGAGGUACGAGGAGACGCUCGGGAGGAUGAAGGCGCUGCCCGACGACGACCCGCGCAGCUUCAAGCGGCAGUCGGCCAUCCACGAGGCCUACUGCGCCAGCCACUACAAGGUGGUGCCGGCGGGAGGCGGCCCGGAGACGGUGUCCGACGUGCACUACUCCUCCAUCUUCGCGCCGUGGCACCGGAUGUACAUCUACUUCUUCGAGGGCAUCCUCGGUGACCUCGUCGGCGACCCCACCUUCGGCCUGCCCUACUGGAACUGGGACACGCCGGCGGGGAUGGUGAUGCCGGCCAUCUUCGACAACAAGUGCUCUCCGCUGUACAAUUCCAGGCGCAACCCGGCGCGAGUGCACGGCUUCAUCGACCUCAACCUGGGGCAGCCGAAGCCAGACAAGGCGCAGAAACCUAAGUGCACCGACGACGAGCUCAUCUGUCGGAUGGAGGAUAAUCUCGCCAUCCUAUACCGUCAGAUGGCUGUGAGCACGCCCAAGGAAUUCUAUGGCGGCAAGUUCUGCAGCGCCGAGCUGGACGACAAAGGGAAGCAGCAGCACAAGGUGACCGGAUCGCUGGAGGCCGGGGCGCACACCGCCGCGCACAUAUGGCUCGGCGACCCAGAGCAGGCGAACCAGGACAUGGGGGACCUCAGCACGGCGGCGCGCGACCCCGUCUUCUACUCCAACCACUCCAACGUGGACCGCAUGUGGCACGUCUGGAGCACCAAGCUCGGCGGCCCCUUACUCCCCUACCAGGAGUGGCUCGACACCAGCUUCGUCUUCUACGACGCCGACAAGCGGCCCGUGCGCACCAAGGUCAGCGACGUCCUCGACAUCGGGAAGCUCGGCUACACCUACGAGGAGCACGGCGAGCUGCCGUGGCUGGGGAAACGGCCCAAGCCGGCCACCGGCAUCGACCGCCGCCCCGGCAAGAGGAGCGCUAACAAGGUCACCAGCUCGUACACCACCGUGACGCUGAGGAACGACGAGAACGUGUACAUGACGGUGGCGAGGCCGGAGAAGGCCUGGGCCGGCGGCGGCAGCGGCAAGAAGGCGCCGGAGGCGCUGGUGGUGGACAUCACGCUGGACCCCUGCGAGUACGUCAAGUUCGACGUGCUGGUUAACGUCCCCAAGGGCCAGGAGUACAAGGUGGGCCCGCGGAACGCCGAGUUCGCCGGAAGCUUCACGCAUGUGCCGCACGGGAGAAGCUUCGGCGGCGGCAUGGCCAUGAUCCAGGUGUCGUACCAGUUCGCGCUGCGGGAGCUGCUGGAGGACCUCAAGUCCGGCGAUGACGGCCAGCUGGACAUCACCAUCGUCCCCGUCAACGCUGAUGAGGUCGUCAUCGAUGACGCGCGCAUCGAGCUCCUCUAG